UACGUAGGGGGCGAGCGUUGUCCGGAUUCAUUGGGCGUAAAGAGCUCGUAGGCGGCUUGGCAAGUCGGGUGUGAAAACUUCAGGCUCAACCUGGAGCGGCCACUCGAUACUGCCAUGGCUUGAGUCCGGUAGGGGACCACGGAAUUCCUGGUGUAGCGGUGAAAUGCGCAGAUAUCAGGAGGAACACCGGUGGCGAAGGCGGUGGUCUGGGCCGUAACUGACGCUGAGGAGCGAAAGCAUGGGGAGCGAACAGG
rnacentral:rRNA from 1 species